GUAGGGAAUAUUGGACAAUGGGCGAAAGCCUGAUCCAGCCAUGCCGCGUGGUAGAUGAAGGCCCUCUGGGUUGUAAAUACCUUUUAUCUGGGAAGAAAUAUCUCGUUCUCGAGAAACUGACGGUACCAGAUGAAUAAGCACCGGCUAACUCCGUGCCAGCAGCCGCGGUAAUACGGAGGGUGCAAGCGUUAUCCGGAUUUACUGGGUUUAAAGGGUGCGUAGGCGGAAUUGUAAGUCAGUGGUGAAAGCCCCGAGCUCAACUUGGGAACUGCCAUUGAUACUGCUUUUCUUGAAUACGAUUGAGGUAAGCGGAAUGUUGCAUGUAGCGGUGAAAUGCUUAGAUAUGUUACAGAACACCAAUUGCGAAGGCAGCUUACUAAGUCGUGAUUGACGCUGAGGCACGAAAGCGUGGGUAGCAAACAGGAUUAGAAACCCCUGUAGUCC
rnacentral:rRNA from 1 species